rnacentral:rRNA from 1 species
GUCUACGGCCACGCCACCGUGAACACGCUCAAUCCCGUCUGAUCUCGGAAGCUAAGCAGAGUCGGGCCUUGUUAGUAUUUGGAUGGGAGACCACCUAGGAAGACCGGGUGUUAUAGGUG